GAUGAACGCUGGCGGCGUGCCUAAUACAUGCAAGUCGAACGAGUUCUUCGGAACUAGUGGCGGACGGGUGAGUAACACGUUGGUACCUACCCCGAAGUGGGGAAUAACUGGCCGAAAGGUCGGCUAAUACCGCAUAAUACCGUAAGGUUAAAGCAGUAAUGCGCUUCGGGAGGGGCCUGCGUCUGAUUAGCUAGUUGGUAGUGUAAUGGACUACCAAGGCGACGAUCAGUAGCUGGAUCGAGAGGUUGACCAGCCACACUGGGACUGAGAUACGGACCAGACUCCUACGGGAGGCAGCAGUAAGGAAUCUUCCACAAUGGACGAAAGUCUGAUGGAGCAACGCCGCGUGCAGGAUGACGGCCUUCGGGUUGUAAACUGCUUUUAUAUGGGAAGAUUAUGACGGUACCAUAUGAAUAAGGACCGGCUAACUACGUGCCAGCAGCCGCAGUAA
rnacentral:rRNA from 1 species